GGCGUAAUGGUAGCCGCGUUAGACUUAGGAUCUAAUGUCUCAGGACGUGGGGGUUCGAGUCCCUUCAUGC
rnacentral:tRNA from 1 species